rnacentral:tRNA from 1 species
AGGAUAAUAGUUUAUAAAAACAUUUGAUUUGCAUUCAAAAAAUAUUAAUUUUUAAUUUAUCUUA